GCCAGUCGUAAACCCAAGCAAACACUUACUAAUUUGCUCGCCAGAAAAUUACAAGCGAAAGCACAAAAUUCAAAGGACUUGACGGUGUUCCACAUCAACCUAGAGGAGCCUGUCCUAUAAUCGAUAAUCCACGUUAUACCUCACCCACUUUUGCCACUGCAGCCUAUAUACCGCCGUCGCCAGCCAAUCCAAUGAUAGAUUUAAAAUUGGCAAAAGUGUCCACCACCAAAACGUCAGGUCAAGGUGUAGCUAAUAAGUGGGCUGAGAUGGGCUACAUUUUUUAAAUUAAAAAAUACUGAAAGGAGCAUGAAACAUGAACUAUAAAGGUGGAUUUAGCAGUAAAUUUGCGCAAGAAGUGCCAUAUUGAAAUUAGCUCUGGAACGCGUACAC
rnacentral:rRNA from 1 species